UACGGAGGGUGCAAGCGUUAUCCGGAUUUAUUGGGUUUAAAGGGUGCGCAGGCGGGGCUUUAAGUCAGUGGUGAAAUCUCUUCGCUUAACGAAGAAACUGCCAUUGAUACUGAAGUUCUUGAAUCUAGUUGACGUUAGUGGAAUGUGUCAUGUAGCGGUGAAAUGCUUAGAUAUGACACAGAACACCGAUCGCGAAGGCAGCUAACGAAGCUAGUAUUGACGCUCAGGCACGACAGCAUGGGGAGCAAACAGG
rnacentral:rRNA from 2 species